GGGACCCUACGGGGUGCAGCAGUGAGGAAUAUUGGUCAAUGGACGCAAGUCUGAACCAGCCAUGCCGCGUGCAGGAUGACGGCUCUAUGAGUUGUAAACUGCUUUUGUACGAGGGUAAACCCCGAUACGUGUAUCGGGUUGAAAGUAUCGUACGAAUAAGGAUCGGCUAACUCCGUGCCAGCAGCCGCGGUAAUACGGAGGAUCCGAGCGUUAUCCGGAUUUAUUGGGCGUAAAGGGUGCGUAGGCGGCCUGCUAAGUCUGGAGUGAAAGGUACCGGCUCAACCGGUACAGGCUCUGGAAACUGG
rnacentral:rRNA from 1 species